GAUGAACGCUGGCGGCGUGCCUAAUACAUGCAAGUCGAGCGAACGGACGAGAAGCUUGCUUCUCUGAUGUUAGCGGCGGACGGGUGAGUAACACGUGGAUAACCUACCUAUAAGACUGGGAUAACUUCGGGAAACCGGCGCUAAUCCCGGAUAAUAUUUUGAACCGCAUGGUUCAAAAGUGAAAGACGGUCUUGCUGUCACUUAUAGAUGCAUCCGCGCUGCAUUAGCUAGUUGGUAAGGUAACGGCUUACCAAGGCAACGAUGCAUAGCCGACCUGAGAGGGUGAUAGGCCACAUUGGAACUGAGACACGGUCCAGACGCCUACGGGAGGCAGCAGUAGGGAAUCUUCCGCAAUGGGCGAAAGCCUGACGGAGCAACGCCGCGUGAGUGAUGAAGGUCUUCGGAUCGUAAAACUCUGUUAUUAGGGAAGAACAGAUGUGUAAGUAACUGUGCACAUCUUGACGGUACCUAAUCAGAAAGCCACGGCUAACUACGUG
rnacentral:rRNA from 1 species